AUAUUCCGUUAGAAACUGGAUGCAUAAUUGGAUACGCUUAAUAGUAAAAUAUAAAGCGGAUAGCGCAAGACAUUAAAGAUCAUAGAGAAAAAUAUGUUGCUCUUAUUUGGAACGAAAUGUCUUAGCAACCUUCUUUAUCAUACGAUAAAAUAAAAGACAAAAUUAUUGGGGAUUUUGAGGAUUGGGGAACGAAAAGAACACGAAAAAUUGCAGAUCUUGCAAUAACUUUUUAUCUAAAAAAUUUACAAUCAGGAAAUAGAAUGCCCGUAGGAUAUGGAUUUUGUCAUAACAACACGAAAACAUUUCAACUAACAAGAUGUAUCAAGGAAUGGCUGUUAAAUAUAAUAUAAUUGCGUCAGAUCUCAUACCUAUUGCCACAAUAUGUGAUCAAAGUAGUCCAAAUGUUGCUGCAAUAUAUAAUUUAGUUAACGAAAGUAACCAGAUUUGCAUAAUGAAGAACAUACGAACAGAUUUGGACAAAUAUAACAAGGAAAAAUAUGCUUGAGAUCAUAUUGUAACAAAAUUGAUAAAGAAUCUCUAAUGAAGAAAUGUCAAAUGCCAAAACUAACAAAUAUGUUAUUCCGAAACUUAUACCAAAAAUGAAAGUGUGGUAUGCAACCCAAAUUUUGAGUAAAACAGUCGCAAAUUUUAGAUGUUAUUUUAAACUUAAGUGGAGGAAUUGUGUAAAUACAACAAAGACAAAUAGAACUGCUAAGAAAUGCUACAAUAACUUCUGAUGUUAUAUCAUUUUUUAAUGAUUUAUUUGAUUUUUUUAAUGGUAAAAGAGGACAAGGAUUAAGC